rnacentral:lncRNA from 1 species
AAGUAAAUCCAAUUUCUGUGAAAUCAGGAUACAAUAAUAGAACCUAGCAGCCUGCCGGACACUUGGAAGGUGCUCCAUGAAUGUCAGCCAUUUAUACGUAAGGUACAUCCAAGGUCUCAUCUUGUAUCUCUGAGAGGCCCAGAAAUCCUUUCUCAGGCCAUGCGUGCAACCUAUUUUGGGGUUCAGAAAAGAGAGUUGUCUUAUUUGUGGCUUUUUUGCUUUAGUGCCCCAGGUCACUCUGUGUCUCUUGGCCUUUCUCAUCAUCUUCCUCUACUUCACUGAUCUCAUUUCCAUGGUGCCUCCCACGAAUUCCUUUGCCCACUCUUCUUUGCCAGCCUCAUAGCCAGAGGCACUUUAUGCAUCAAGCACUGCUGGUUCCUCUUGCUGUUGUUUUCAUGAAGUUGCCCUACACAAAAACAUAUGAAUUUUGCAGAUGAAUGGUUUCAUCCUGGGCAAUGCUGAUAGGUUUUCAGUUUCCAUCUGCCGCCCCAUCUGUAGCUUCCAAAACCACUACUUCUCCCAUCCCAGAAAGAAUGAGCAAACUUAGGAGUCUUCUCAAAGGGGCGGUAGUGCCCAAGUCAGGCACUUCUAAGAGGCACUGAAAACUUGGGGGAUACUUAAGGGUCCAGCCAGCCCGACGUAGCCACUGUGAGCUGCUCUGUGAUUUGACGUCACCUCCCUGUGUCCCCUGCACAACCCUCACUGUGGGGGGUGGGGGGGUGUGGGCAGAUUCUUCCUCUCUUAGAUAUUAAAGAUGCACUGGUGUUUACUGGUCACUAGCCUUGUUUAGGCCCUGGACGCAGACAUCCUGGUUUCAGAUUCUGCCCCACCACCAACUGGGCAAGUUGCUUCAACUUUCUGCAUCUCAAAUUCUCUACCUUAAAAUAAACACAAUAUUAGUGCCUAUUUCGGAGGGUUCUUAGGAAGUUUCAAUGAAAUCUUGCAUGAUAAGGACCUACCACAGCGUCUAAUGACAGAAAGUGGUUGAUAAAUGCCCAAAUUACUCCAUGGCUAUAAGUAACUGUGGGACUUGAGUUACUUUCCCUUUUCUCUUUGAUAGAGUUAAAAGAGUAGCAAAGUAUUUCUUGAACUCACAUCUCUGUCAAAAGAGGGAAAAGUGGGCCAAGCACGGUGGCACACAACUGUAAUCCCAGGACUUUGGGAGGCCAAGGCAGGUGGAUCACUUGAGGUUAGGGGUUCGAGACCAGCCUGGCCAACAUGAUGAAACCCCGACUCAACUAAAAAUACAAAAAUUAGCCAGGCAUGGUUGUGCAUACCUGUAACCCCAGCUACUCAUGAGGCUGAGGCAUGAGACUCACUUGAACUCGGGAGGCAGAGGCUGCAAUGAGCCGAGAUCGUACCACCGCGCU